GGAAAAUAUCCAAGCUCGGGAUUUUAUCCUCUGGAAACUCCUCUCUCAAAAAUCAGAAAAUGGCAUCGACCAGUGCAGUGGCUGGCCGAGUCCCGAACCUAAACGGACUUAGUGACUGGAAAAAGCCUAACCUUUCAUCGUUUACUCUUGGCAACCUAAGCUUAAAUGCAAAUCCAGUUGGUAAGCCCCAUAAAUCUUUGUCUGGCAAUUGGAAAUCCAGACAUAGCAGUAGAUCUCUCUCUGUACAUGGUUUAUUUGGAGGAAAGAAGGACAAUAAUGAAAAGAGUGAUGAUGCACCAUCAAAGGCAGGAAUUCUUGGAAACAUGCAGAAUUUAUAUGAGACUGUGAAGAAGGCGCAGAUGGUUGUCCAAGUUGAAGCAGUUAGGGUUCAAAAAGAACUUGCUGCAGCAGAGUUUGAUGGUUACUGUGAAGGUGAGCUUAUUAAGGUAACUCUAUCUGGAAACCAACAGCCUGUACGUACUGAGAUCACUGAGGCUGCAAUGGAAUUAGGUCCAGAAGUGAGUACGCAUGUUUUACCGGAUAUUUUCCUUGAAAGUUAUUUGGUUAUAUUUUGUGAGAUAUUGUCAAAUAAUGAUUUCAUAAAAAAAAUCCAGUAUUUUAGUAUGUUCUUUUUGUCCUACUCACUUGGUAUGCUCUUCAACCACGUAUUGUUUAAAUUUCCCAUGAAUUGUUUAAGAGAGAAAUGAAUAAAUAAUGUGGUCCUAUAUGCAUGUUUUUAAAUCAAAGUUAGAGCAAUGCAUAGUUUCUGUCUGGCCUUAAAAGCAAGGAACAUUUGUUGUAAGAUAUGUGCUUAUCCAAUUAUCAUGUUCAAAUUAAUUUUCAGCGGACUACUUAAAUGUUUAAACUUGCAUAACAUGCAAGAUAUCAUCAAUGUGUAUAAGUUGCAUGUUUCUAGAACAAGAAUAUGUAAAUUCUUAAACUUUUAGUAUUUGUCCAUAGCCAAACAGUGGUUAUACUUGAUAGAAACUUUGAAGCAACAUUCUCAAAUUCUUAAAUGUUUAGGCAUGAGCAUGGUUUUUGCUGCCAGGCCUUCUGUUCUCCUUAAAUUACAGUUGCAGGCCAUAAAAACUUCUUGUCAGAAAAAAAGAACAUGAAAGGACAGUUUUAAACAGUCCAGUUGGUUCUGCUUUAGCGAGACAAAUUCAUGGAUGGACUGAUGAUUUGUAACAAGAAUUGGGAAGCUAUGCUAUUGGCCUUAUAUUUUGAGCGGUGUUUGUUUUUUCCAAUUUUGCAUGCGCACAAACCAAGAGCAUUCUCUUCUUAUAUGCAGAAGCUUUCACUUUUAGUUAAUGAGGCAUACAAGGACGCACACCAAAAAAGUGUCCAGGCCAUGAAAGAAAGGAUGAGUGAUCUUGCCCAAAGCUUAGGAAUGCCGCCAGGGGUCGGUGAGGGAUUAAAGUAAGGUGUAUUUCUCUUGUACUGAUCUCUAAGUGAGCUUUAAUUUUGCAAUUGAGCCAGUUACAAGUGCUCAUUGUAGUGUGACACGAAAUUUACUGUCUUGCUUAUCUUAGUGAUUGUUUAGAUUUAAUGAGUGAAAAUAUUUGGAACUUGUUAUCUUUGUUAUUAUUUCUAUAAGAAAACUGGUUGCUAAACUGAUAUUCUAAAAUGUUACCACAAUCGCAAAGGUGAUAAAUGAAGUAAAUUUGUGUAGCUUCAAUUGUCGUCGACAGUUAUAAUUUCCAAGAGUUAUCAGUUAGGAAGUCAGAGAAUUUUUCUUUGUCGCCAUGGAGUAUGAACUAUUAAAUGCAAAAUGGUUACCGAGAAUGGUAUCCCUGGAGAAGCGGAGAUAGAAAGACGUUUUCCAUUUUGUUUCUCUGGAAUACCUCAGACCUCUAUUGUUCUUGCAUUAGAGAUUCUACAGAAUACAGAUGGUAUGAAACAUCAAUUAUCUGGUUUUCUUGUCUUUAAUGAAUUAGAAUAAGAAAAAAAAAAAAAAAAAA
rnacentral:misc_RNA from 1 species